GCUAAACGCGAAGAACCUUACCCAGACUUGACAUCCUUGGAAGGCCUCCGAAAGGAGACUGUGCCUUCGGGAACCAAGUGACAGGUGCUGCAUGGCUGUCGUCAGCUCGUGUCGUGAGAUGUUGGGUUAAGUCCCGUAACGAGCGCAACCCUUGUCCUUAGUUGCCAGCGCGUAAUGGCGGGAACUCUAAGGAGACUGCCGGUGACAAACCGGAGGAAGGUGGGGAUGACGUCAAGUCCUCAUGGCCCUUACGGGUUGGGCUACACACGUGCUACAAUGGUGGUGACAAUGGGUCGCGAGGUCGCGAGGCCAAGCUAAUCUCAAAAAGCCAUCUCAGUUCGGAUUGUACUCUGCAACUCGAGUACAUGAAGUUGGAAUCGCUAGUAAUCGCGCAUCAGCAUGGCGCGGUGAAUACGUUCCCGGGUCUUGUACACACCG
rnacentral:rRNA from 1 species